GAUGAACGCUGGCGGCGUGCCUAAUACAUGCAAGUCGAGCGAAUGGAUUAAGAGCUUGCUCUUAUGAAGUUAGCGGCGGACGGGUGAGUAACACGUGGGUAACCUGCCCAUAAGACUGGGAUAACUCCGGGAAACCGGGGCUAAUACCGGAUAACAUUUUGAACCGCAUGGUUCGAAAUUGAAAGGCGGCUUCGGCUGUCACUUAUGGAUGGACCCGCGUCGCAUUAGCUAGUUGGUGUGGUAACGGCCCACCAAGGCAACGAUGCGUAGCCGCCCUGAGAAGGGGAUCGGCCAAACUGGGACUGAGACACGGCCCAGACUCCUACGGGAGGCAGCAGUAGGGAAUCUUCCGCAAUGGACGAAAGUCUGACGGAGCAACGCCGCGUGAGUGACGAAGGCUUUCGGGUCGUAAAACUCUGUUGUUAGGGAAGAACAAGUGCUAGUUGAAUAAGCUGGCACCUUGACGGUACCUAACCAGAAAGCCACGGCUAACUACGUGCCAGCCGCCGCGGUAA
rnacentral:rRNA from 1 species